rnacentral:misc_RNA from 1 species
AAAAUGCUGUGAAAUUUAUAAAGAAUUAUGCAGAAGAGUUCGGCAUCCCACAGCCCGAGGCACCCAGAGGCAGCGAUGGAAUUCCCCCUGUGUACCUGCCAGCAUCAGAUACCAAGAAAGCAAUACACCAAAGGUAUGUGAAGUCCUGUGAGGAGUCCAGCAUCCGUGCUAUGAAAAUUUCAUCAUUUGAAGAUGUCUGGCUAAAAUGCAUUCCACACAUCCGGAUCAGCACUCCCCGUGAUGAUGUUUGUCAGAAGUGUGAGUGUCUGCGUAAGAAGAUCAUGGAUGCUAGGACAGAAGAGGAGAAACUAACAUCCGUAAGAGCUUUCCAGGAUCACAUUGAAGCAGCUAGGAAAGAACGACAACAUUACAGGGAGUGCAUACAAGAAGCAGCCGAAGAAAUGGGACAGUGGCAAGGCGGGUAGCUUCAGAACGUGCACUACACCUUCGAUUUCGCCCAACACUUUCAACAACCGCACCACGCCAGACAAAUGGGACCGACAUACUUUGUCAUGCUUCGCAGAGUCCAGCUCUUUGGGGUCCGCAUUGAUAGUGCGUCUAUGCAGUUGAACUUUUUGGUUGACGAAAAUCAAACAAUCGGCCAAGAUGGGACUUUGACCAAUGGCGCAAACGCGGUUAUUAGCAUGUUGGACUACACAUUCAACGAAUAUGGAUUUGGGGAAAAGUCAUCUUCUUUACAUGCAGAUAACUGCAGUGGUCAAAACAAAAAUCAGUAUAUGUUGGCGUAUCUGUGCUGGAGAGUUCUAAUGGGCUUUCACGAAAGAAUCUCACUAAAAAUGCAGAUUCCAGGACACACAAGAUGUCUUGUUGAUGGAGGAUUUGGCCACAUAAGAAAACUUUUCUGCCGAAGUGAUGUGGACUCUUUUAAUCAGUUGGUGGACGUGGUGCAAAAUUCAGCCUCCAGCAAUGUUGCCAUCCCAUACAAGCACGAGGACGGUGGAGCGACUUGGGAAUGGCGGGAUUGGAAGAGCUUUCUCUCUACCAACUUCAAGGCCGUCAGAAACAUAAGAAAGUACCACCACUUUCGGUUUUCAUGCCAAGAUCCUGGGUACGUCUUUCUUAAGGAGAGCGUUGAUUCAGAAGAGACCAGCGUAUCCAUCAUGAAGAGUCCUAUCUCGGAUCCUCAUGCGAGACCAAUAUUGAUCACGCCACCUGGACUAUCCAGAGAUCGCCAGACGUACCUCUACAGGAAUGUCCGCCCUUACGUCAGGCCACUUCAUCAGGAGGAAGUGUGCCCAACUCCUACAGAUCUGGAAGAGUGACUGGUGUAACAUUAUUUUUUAGGUUGUUCGACGCCAGAACUUUUGUUAAAUUCUGAAAUUUUGUUCUGCUGAAAUUUUAAAUUACUUGUAAAAAUGAUUGAUGUAUUUGUUGUUUUUAUUGAUGUAUAUAAUUUAUGUGUACCAGUGUGUUGUCAUAUAUUUGUUAUCUAUUACUGAUAAUGAAAAUAACAUGAUUAAAAUUAAUUACAUAACCAUGAUU